rnacentral:rRNA from 1 species
GACGAACGCUGGCGGCGUGCCUAAUACAUGCAAGUUGAGCGAUGAAGAUUGGUGCUUGCACCAAUUUGAAGAGCAGCGAACGGGUGAGUAACGCGUGGGGAAUCUGCCUUUGAGCGGGGGACAACAUUUGGAAACGAAUGCUAAUACCGCAUAACAACUUUAAACAUAAGUUUUAAGUUUGAAAGAUGCAAUUGCAUCACUCAAAGAUGAUCCCGCGUUGUAUUAGCUAGUUGGUGAGGUAAAGGCUCACCAAGGCGAUGAUACAUAGCCGACCUGAGAGGGUGAUCGGCCACAGUGGGACUGAGACACGGCCCAAACUCCUACGGGAGGCAGCAGUAGGGAAUCUUCGGCAAUGGACGAAAGUCUGACCGGGCAACGCCGCGUGAGUGAAGAAGGGUUUCGGAUCGUAAAACUCUGUUGGUAGAGAAGAACGUUGGUGAGAGUGGAAAGCUCAUCAAGUGACGGUAACUACCCAGAAAGGGACGGCUAACUACGUG